AGAGUUUGAUCCUGGCUCAGGAUGAACGCUGGCGGCUUGCUUAAGACACGCAAGUCGAACGGAGUGGUAGCAAUACUGCUCAGUGGCGAAUGGGUGCGUAACACGUAGGCGACCUACCCCGAAGUGUGGAAUAACAGCCCGAAAGGGCUGCUAAUACCGCAUGUGGUCUCGGUCUUUAGAAAACCGAGUCGAAAGCCGAAAGGCGCUUCGGGCGGGGCCUGCGGCCCAUCAGGUAGUUGGUAGGGUCACGGCCUACCAAGCCAACGACGGGUAGGGGACCUGAGAGGGUGGCCCCCCACACUGGCACUGACACACGUGCCAGACUCCUACGGGAGGCAGCAGUCGGGAAUAUUGCUCAAUGGGCGCAAGCCUGAAGCGGCAACGCCGCGUGCGCGAUGAAGGCCUUCGGGUCGUAAAGCGCUUUUUGGUGGGAUGAGGAAGGACAGUACCGCCAGAAUAAGGUACGGCUAACUACGUGCCAGCAGCCGCGGUAAAACGUAGGUACCGAGCGUUAUCCGGAUUUACUGGGCGUAAAGCGUGUGCAGGCGGUCGUGCAAGUCGGGCAUGAAAGCCCCUGGCUCAACUGGGGGAAGCUGUCUGAUACUGCAUGACUUGAGGGCUCGAGAGGGCGAUGGAAUUCCGCAUGUAGUGGUGAAAUGCGUAGAGAUGCGGAGGAACACCAGUGGCGAAAGCGGUCGCCUGGCGAGCCCCUGACGCUCAGACACGAAAGCUAGGGGAGCGAACGGGAUUAGAAACCCCGGUAGUCCUAGCUGUAAACGAUGUGGACUAGGCGUGCGCGGUCUCAACCCCGUGCGUGCCGCAGCUAACGCGCUAAGUCCACCGCCUGGGGACUACGGCCGCAAGGUUAAAACUCAAAGGAAUUGACGGGGACCCGCACAAGCAGCGGAGCGUGUGGUUUAAUUCGAGGCUACGCGAAGAACCUUACCAGGGAUUGACAUGGUGGUAGUAGGGAAGCGAAAGCAGACCGAGCCUUCGGGCAGCCAUCACAGGUGAUGCAUGGCUGUCGUCAGCUCGUGCCGUGAGGUGUUUGGUUAAGUCCACUAACGAGCGCAACCCUUAGGGCCAGUUACAAGUGUCUGGCCCGACUGCCGGUAUCAAGCCGGAGGAAGGUGGGGAUGACGUCAAGUCAGCAUGUCCUUUAUAUCCUGGGCUACACACACGCUACAAUGGCCGGUACAGUUGGUUGCCAAGCCGCGAGGCGGAGCCAAUCCACUAAAGCCGGUCUCAGUUCGGAUUGGAGGCUGCAACCCGCCUCCAUGAAGUCGGAGUUGCUAGUAACCGCAGGACAGCCAUACUGCGGUGAAUACGUUCCCGGGUCUUGUACACACCGCCCGUCACGUCAUGGGAGCUGGCAACACCUGAAGCCGGUGGGCGAACCGCAAGGGCGCAGCCGUCGAAGGUGGGGUCGGUGACUGGGACGAAGUCGUAACAAGGUA
rnacentral:rRNA from 1 species